GAUGAACGCUGGCGGCGUGCCUAAUACAUGCAAGUCGAGCGAACAGACGAGGAGCUUGCUCCUCUGACGUUAGCGGCGGACGGGUGAGUAACACGUGGAUAACCUACCUAUAAGACUGGGAUAACUUCGGGAAACCGGAGCUAAUACCGGAUAAUAUAUUGAACCGCAUGGUUCAAUAGUGAAAGACGGUUUUGCUGUCACUUAUAGAUGGAUCCGCGCCGCAUUACCUAGUUGGUAAGGUAACGGCUUACCAAGGCGACGAUGCGUAGCCGACCUGAGAGGGUGAUCGGCCACACUGGAACUGAGACACGGUCCAGACUCCUACGGGAGGCAGCAGUAGGGAAUCUUCCGCAAUGGGCGAAAGCCUGACGGAGCAACGCCGCGUGAGUGAUGAAGGUCUUCGGAUCGUAAAACUCUGUUAUUAGGGAAGAACAAAUGUGUAAGUAACUAUGCACGUCUUGACGGUACCUAAUCAGAAAGCCACGGCUAACUACGUG
rnacentral:rRNA from 1 species